rnacentral:rRNA from 1 species
GGAGAGUUUGAUCCUGGCUCAGGGUGAACGCUAGCGGUGCGCCUAACACAUGCAAGUCGAGCGAGGAGGACAGCGAGUAGCAAUACUUGCUGGGCUCCUAGCGGCGAACGGGCGAGUAACGCGUGGAUGACCUGCCCCGAAGAGGGGGAUAACAGGCCGAAAGGCCUGCUAAUACCCCAUGUGCUCAGGAGGGUUAGAGGCCUCCUGAGUAAAGGGUUCCGGUUCCCGAAAGGGGUCGGCGCCGCUUCGGGAGGGGUCCGCGUCCCAUCAGGUGGUUGGUAGGGUAACGGCCUACCAAGCCGAUGACGGGUAGGGGGCCUGAGAGGGUGGCCCCCCGCACUGGCACUGAGACACGGGCCAGACACCUACGGGUGGCAGCAGUGGGGAAUCUUGGGCAAUGGGCGAAAGCCUGACCCAGCGACACCGCGUGCGGGAUGAAGGCCUUCGGGUCGUAAACCGCUUUUCGGGGGGAUGAGGAAGGACAGUACCCCCGGAAUAAGUCUCGGCUAACUACGUGCCAGCAGCCGCGGUAACACGUAGGAGGCGAGCGUUACCCGGAUUUACUGGGCGUAAAGCGCGCG